rnacentral:tRNA from 1 species
GCACUGGUGGUUCACUGGUAGAAUUCUCACCUGCCAAGCGGGAGACCCGAGUAUGAUUCCUGGCCAAUGCA